UUUAUUGUAUUGAGAACUUUUGGUCGAUCUACUUGUAAGUGUUAUCUAUAUAUGUUUGGCCGCUAUUGUGCCAAAAACCGAAGAAAAACUAAAGGUUGGCUACCGAUUGCGUUUAUUCGAUGCUCAAGGAUUUUGAGGCAGGUGCUUAAUGGUAUUCUAUAUGUGUAAGUUACUAUGAUAUUAAUUUUCUGUUUCCCUUGAUCAAUAAUUUCAUUGCGUUUCAGUGGUAAAUUUCUACUUUUAGUCAACUAGACUAGCAAUACUAAUUACCGCACCUUCACACAUUAUAGAUUAAUUGUUAUAGAUAUUUGAAGAUGACGGCUUCUCGCCGGUGAUCAUAGAAAAAUAUGGAACUUGACAACUUGUCGAAGAAAAUAGGUUAA
rnacentral:lncRNA from 1 species